rnacentral:rRNA from 1 species
AUACGGAGGGAGCGAGCGUUAAUCGGAAUUACUGGGCGUAAAGCGCGCGUAGGCGGCUUUGUAAGUCGGAUGUGAAAGCCCUGGGCUCAACCUGGGAAUGGCAUUCGAUACUGCAGAGCUAGAGUAUGGUAGAGGGAAGUGGAAUUUCCGGUGUAGCGGUGAAAUGCGUAGAUAUCGGAAGGAACACCAGUGGCGAGGGCGACUUCCUGGGCCAAUACUGACGCUGAGGUGCGAAAGCGUGGGGAGCAAACAGGAUUAGAAACCCCGGUAGUCC